AUAUGCCAUUCUCUUCAAUCUUUUCUUCAUUUCAAUGGCACUAGGGUUUCAUCUCAAUUAGAGGUACUCUUUUUUCUCCAAACGGAAACAUGAAUCUCUCAAUAGCAGCACCUUCAGCUUUUCGCGGCAAUCUCCUCCUUCCUCUAUCGCGCUGCACCUCUUGCUUUGAAUUCGAUCUUCGUUUUCACCAUUCACGUUGUCGUUGGAGUUCAUUUAAGUUGAUUCGGAACCCAAGGAGAGGGAUUGCUUGUAGUGUGACUGAGCCACAUAACGGGGACAACGAGGAGCAUGUUCUCUUUCACUGACAUUAAGCUCCUCAAGUUGAAGUUUGGUGUGGAUUAAUACUUUUGAAUUCAGUUGAAGUUUGCCGAAAUGGAGAAAGCACAUAAAAAUGGAGAAGCAGAACCUUCGGAAGAUUCCUCUGAGCAAAGUAUCCCUCCGCCUGUAGAUCUAGAAAGACUAAACAAAUUUGUUGAUGAAAAUAAGUAUCAAAAUGAUAAUGAUGUACAGAACAUGGAUAGCAAAGAAGUUGCCAGUGGAUCACCUCUGCCAGGUGUGAAGGUGAUUACAUUUUAUGUUCACUAUUUCCUGCUUUAAAGAGAAAUUCUCCUUUUUUAAUUCUUCUGUGUUUCUGUUCUUUAUAUGUUCUAAGCAGCCUCAGCAACUGGAUGAAGCAAUAAAAAUUCCCAAGGAAACAAUUGAAAUUCUUAAGAACCAAGUUUUCGGUUUUGAUACUUUUUUUGUAACAAGCCAAGAUCCUUAUGAGGGUGGAGUUUUGUUCAAAGGAAACUUGCGAGGGCAACCUGCCAAAAGUUAUGAUAAGAUAUCUAAGAGAAUGAAAGAUAAAUUUGGAGAUGAAUACAAGCUUUUCCUUCUACUCAAUCCUGAGGAUGAUAAGCCUGUGGCCGUUGUGGUUCCAAGAACAACCUUACAACCAGAGACAACUGCUGUACCUGAGUGGUUUGCUGCUGGAGCUUUUGGACUGGUUACAGUUUUUACCUUACUGCUUCGCAAUGUUCCUGCUUUGCAAUCCAAUUUAUUAUCAACUUUUGACAAUCUGAACUUGUUAAAGGAUGGCCUACCUGGAGCCCUUGUUACUGCACUUAUUCUGGGGAUACAUGAACUUGGUCACUUUUUAGUUGCCAACAACACUGGAGUUAAACUUGGGGUUCCGUACUUUGUACCUAGCUGGCAGGUUGUAUUAUCUUCUGUUACGAUUUUUUAUGAAGAUAUUUCUUUAAUUAAAUAACAUAAUAAUUGAGGGUAUCAUGCUUUCCAUCUAGUUCAGUUCACAUUACAUAAAUUAUUCAGAGGAUUUAUAAUUGUAUGUAGAGCUUCGAUUCAUUUUUUAUUUUUGAUUAAUUAUUUUAGUUGAUGCAUGUCAGCUAGAAGCAUUCCAUCUGCGUUUAUAUUGCACAAUGUAACUACAGAUCAAUCUUUAUAUUAAAUAGCUUAAGACCUUAAGUACAUUUGUCAUCUAGGAAUUGCUUGUGUUGCUUUCCUACAAAGUAAAGUCUCAGCUUCUGAUUUGCAUUACUAACAAGGGUCUCCAAAGAAUGACAUCAUCUGAAUUCUCCUAGUUUAGUUAAUUUUGUGGUACUCUAGGAAUAGAAUUGUGCCUUUUUUGUGUGUUUUUCUUGCUAUCUAAUUUAUUAUGGUAUAGUGUCAAGAUUCAAACAGACAAUUUGUUGAUAUGUACAAUUUGGAUAUUGGCCAACUUUCUUUUUGUUGAUAUAAACAAUUUAUAACAUCUUUCUACAAGAAACAGAAAUUCUGACGAGUAAUUUGGUGGCAGAUAGGCUCUUUUGGUGCUAUUACAAGGAUAAGAAACAUAGUAUCCAAUCGUGAACAUCUGCUCAAGGUUGCAGCUGCUGGACCGAUAGCUGGCUUUUCCUUUGGUCUUUUGCUUCUGCUUCUAGGUUUUGUCUUGCCUCCCAGUGAUGGUCUUGGUGUUGUUAUUGAUGCUUCUGUGUUUCACGAGUCAUUUCUUGCUGGCGGUAUUGCAAAGCUGCUUCUUGGUAACGUUCUCAAGGAAGGAACUGCAAUAUCUGUCAACCCUCUAGUGAUUUGGGCUUGGGCUGGACUCCUUAUCAAUGCCAUCAACAGCAUUCCUGCUGGCGAGCUUGAUGGAGGGAGAAUUUCUUUUGCCAUUUGGGGAAGAAAGGCCUCAUUGCGCUUCACAGGAGUUUCAAUUGUGCUGCUGGGAGUCUCGUCACUAUUUAAUGACGUAGCUUUCUACUGGGUAGUUCUCAUAUUCUUCUUGCAAAGAGGUCCAAUUGCUCCUCUCUCUGAGGAAAUAACCGAUCCUGAACAAAAAUAUGUUGCUCUUGGAGUAACAGUUUUGCUCCUAGGCUUGUUGAUAUGCUUGCCAUAUCCUUUCCCAUUUACAGACGAAACCCUCACAAGUUUCUAGAAAUAAUGGCCACAGAAACUCUGGCUGCAUCGCAUUAGAUUACUAGUACCUGAAAUUUUUGAGAACUGAGAGUGCAGGGUAGGAUUUUUAAUGAAUCAAACUAUCAAUGUUGGUUCA